rnacentral:lncRNA from 1 species
AAGUUUCCCCUCCGUUGAAAAGGGAAAAAUCAGAUGUUCGACUAUAAAACCAUAAAACAUUAUAUGGAAAACAAAUUAAAAAAAACUCUAGGUUUUGCGGAAGACAAACAGAUCAGUAAUUUUUAUAAAAUUUUCCAAAUCUAUUUAAAUAUCUAGUUCAGGGAAGCAAAUCACCCAUACUGCAACUUCAUAUGCUUUAUCCAUUAUUAUGCCUUACAUGAUCGAUUUAAGGGAAUUACAAUAUUCAUACAAUGAUGAAAAUCAGGCCUUCUUCAAGAAGCAGAACAAGGCGAAACAUGUCAAUCUAAGGGAGCAGAACAAGGCGAAACAUGUCAAUCUAAGGGCCUUGGAGCUAAGAUUACAUUCUAUUCAGACACAUUCUUCAAAACUAUGCAAACAACAGCAGAACCUAUUUUUCGAAACUAAAUUAUCCUUGACAUUGGUACUUCCAGCAACUAAAAAAAUGCAUGUGUUCUCAGUAGUUCAAGCAAAUAUUGCAUGCAUUUUGCU